rnacentral:rRNA from 1 species
AUUGAACGCUGGCGGCAGGCUUAACACAUGCAAGUCGAGCGGGGGAAGGUAGCUUGCUAUUGGACCUAGCGGCGGACGGGUGAGUAAUGCUUAGGAAUCUGCCUAUUAGUGGGGGACAACAUCUCGAAAGGGAUGCUAAUACCGCAUACGUCCUACGGGAGAAAGCAGGGGAUCUUCGGACCUGCCGCUAAUAGAUGAGCCUAAGUCGGAUUAGCUAGUUGGUGGGGUAAAGGCCUACCAAGGCGACGAUCUGUAGCGGGUCUGAGAGGAUGGUCCGCCACACUGGGACUGGGACACGGCCCAGACUCCUACGGGAGGCAGCAGUGGGGAAUAUUGGACAAUGGGGGGAACCCUGAUCCAGCCAUGCCGCGUGUGUGAAGAAGGCCUUAUGGUUGUAAAGCACUUUAAGCGAGGAGGAGGCUACUUUAGUUAAUACCUAGAGAUAGUGGACGUUACUCGCAGAAUAAGCACCGGCUAACUCUGUGCCAGCAGCCGCCGUAA